GAAUAGCUCAGCUGGAUAGAGUGUGGUGUUGCUGAUAACACCAAGGUUGCAGGUUUGAUUCCCGUAUGGGACA